GAGCCAAUAUGGCGGCGACUUGACGAAGGCAGCGGGAUGAAGAGGAUGAGGGCUUGAAAAAGCAAAGAGGUCCGUCACAGGCUGCGGGCCCAUCCACCGACCCGAGCCAAGACCAUGUUGGGAGAUGACAGCCGCCGUACCGUAGCGCGACCGAGGUGUCGGUGAGCGUGCGGAUAAAAUAAGACGCGUUCGCGGGGAGGCCACGCAAGAGGAGGAGCGGAGCGGCGCGCGGCUCGUCUCGGCGCGGGCCAGGACAGCGGCGGCGGCUUGCACCGGUCAGCCAUGGAGAAUGCAGCCCAGGCUAGAAAGCGUCUAAUGUACCAGCCGGCCCACGCUCAUUUGAAUGGGAAUUAGCCGCGAAGGCCAAGGCAAGCCGGGACGAGCCACCAGCCGACACCUGAAGGGGGAGGAACGCGAAGCGGACCCCACGUCAAUGACUGUUGCGGCAGAGGAGCCGCCACGGUGGAGUCGGCCGGUUCCCAAAAUAUGACCAGGGGUGCUGGGCCGGGUUGGCAGCAAGAUGACGACGACGGCGGCUUCCAAAUCUGGCUAGAACCCCCCAGCGAGAACCAAAAGCCAUUCACCGACUCCGAGAGGGCGCAGAGAUGGCGACUGUCCUUGGCAUCCCUCUUGUUUCUCACCAUCCUCCUCUCUGAUCACCUGUGGUUCUGCGCCGAGGCCAAACUGGCCAGGACCCGAGACAAGUUCGGAUCGUCCCGCCUCCUCUACCCUCAAACCCAUUCAGCACAGAGCAGUCUCAGAGAAAACCCCAUCGCUAUUUUUGUAGGAAACUCGAGCAAACAUUUGUGGCGGCUGGAAACUUGCCACGCGGACAGUUUGUCCAACACCUGCUUGACUUUCGCCGACGCCGACCAUUUGUGCAGGGGCCUCUCCGGUUACGGGGGCUCGUCGGCUGUAAAUAUGAGCGAUUUGUACCUCUCCUUUUGUAACUCCUACUCUCUGCUGGAUUUGUUCGGCGGCUCGACUAGUCCCGAUAAUUUGAACUGCAGCCUGGAUGUCCUCGGUGACGGCGACCCGACCCGAUGCAGCAUGUGCGUGCAGGCGUACCAACGCUACGACCAGCAUGCGCAGGAGAAGUACGACGACUUUGAUCUCCUCACGCAGAAAUACGAGCCGGCCGCCUAUUCGGUACGGACGUGCAUGGAGCAGUGCAAGACAGCCUACAAGCCCUGGCUAUGUGCCCAGUAUUUCCCCAUUACCCAGCAGUCAUGUCAAAGAAAGGUAUCGUGCCACCAGUACUGCCUGGAGGUCCAACAGAGCUGUCCAUUCAUCCUACCGGACAAUGACGACUUGAUCCAUGGUGGCAGCCCCAGCUUCAUCUGUGCAGGACUCUUGGGAGAACAUCCACUGGAGAGCAAGGCAGAAUGCUGCGAUGUCCGAUGGGAGUCAAACACAGACGGCCCCUCAGUCGAGAAGCUAAAAAGGACUGCCUCCUCCUGUUGGCCCAAAGGAGCCUCGCUCACCUCCACCGCCACCCCGAAACUCUAUAGCGGGCGGCUGAAGCUCUGCCUGCUGGCACUUGUCCUACUGCACACAGUCAUCAUCAUAUCGGCCUCUCAUAAUUCCACGUUGGUGGGCGUGGUUGUCUCCUUCUCAGCAGAAAAGAGCGCAUCCAACGAUGACUGAGUUUUGAGAUUAACUGAAGUUUUAAGAAGCGUUUUGCUUUUGCCAACAUCGUAUUGUGACGUUGGCACUUUGGGAUCGCCUCUUUUCUGCGCUGUCGGAAAAACACAGGAAGUGGGAGGGCUUUACUGAAGCGUAGGGUGGACUGGACCACCCUCUUAAAGAAGUGACCUCUCUCCACUUAAAACCUGCUCAUUGUUUCUAUUCCUGCCAUAUGUUUUGGAGCACGUUGUGCCUCCACCUUUCCUUUCCUUCUGUUUUUUUUUUUUUUUUAAUGUGUUUUCGUGUCUCGAUUGCACAUCAAAGUGGACAGCGAUGAAGUGUGCCCCCCUGCUCGUCGUUACAUUCAAAAAUUUGAUGCCUUCUUUUUGAGUCAUCCAUGCUAUUCCUUUCCUCUUCCUUCAUGGUUAAUACCUUGAAGUAACUCAUCCAUCAGUCUUUUUUCAGCAUACACUGCAGUCAUUUUUCAGCAAUCUUUUUUUUUUUUUUUUUUUUUUUUUUUAACUCUUCCUCUCCCUAGCUCUAAUGUACAUGCCUGAACAGUUUAGGCCUCAAGUACACUGAGAACUAAAAGGUUGAUAAUUGAGACCCCACAUCUUGAGUGCCUCUAUGCUGUACACCCCUCGUCAGGCCAGAAGUGGCAAUGGAGCAAUAUUAUACCUGUUUCAAAAUGAAUCAAAGAAAGGUACUAUGUUCUUCAAGCUUCACCCCUAACUAGACAAAUCUAUAACCCAGACAUGCAAAGGGCUGCCACUGCAUUGGCAUGGGAGGAAUGCGAGGAGAUUUCAAGGGCUGAACCAUCCCUGUGUAUGUUUUUUUUUUUUUUAAUCUGUUUUUAACUUGUGCUCAUCUGCUGUUUUGUAGAGUUCAAAUUGAUGACUGAGUUUGUAGUUAUGACAUAAUGAGUGUCUUAAGUGUGAAAUUCUGUCCGAUUAAGCCUGCAAAUGACUGAUUCAUAAUUGCCUAAUGUCAAAAAGGGGGAAAGGGAUAUUAGAGGAGGAGAGGGGCCACACUCAAAAGAUAUUUAACAAGUCUGUCUGACGCAUUCAAUUGCAUGUUGACUGUGGCUUGCAAGACGGGGGGGCCUGUCUGGCCAUAUAUCAUAACAAAGCGCCAGCGAUAACGCACAUAAAUUGUUACAUAAUUGUAUUCCUAAACAUCUCCCAGAUUUGCACUUUCACAAUAUCAGCAAAAAUCAUGUGCUUAAAAAUAAUUGGCGAAUUGGCUUGCUUCAUAUCGUUUAUGUAUAGGGUUAGCCGUAUACUGUAGCUCGUGCCAGUGCGACUGGGCGUGGAAGAGGUCAGUUACAAAUACGGUUAACUAUAGACCACGUGCCAGUGACACCCUCAUUUCCAGACACGCCCCUGUUUUGCAAGCCGCGGCCCUUCUCAAAUUGUUCCCUGCUGGAAGUCGGUCAAUAAUUACAUCUUCACCUUUCAUUUGGUUAAAAAAAAAAGUUUCAUUGUUUAUUUUGUCGUAUUAUUGUAGUCCUUCUGGCCUUCAAAUAGCAAUUACCCGCGCAACCCCCACACACAUCUUUGAUUACGGUAUUUGAAAAUUCCUCAAAGGACACUGCAAUUUCAUGAAAAAAAUAAGUUUAUAUUCCUAUAACAUAUAUUAAAUAUUAUUGUCAGGAACUAGCAUUUUUCAGUUCUAAUAUUUAAAAGGCACCUAAAUAUAAAUACAUUGUUACACAUCCAAGUGUUUUACUGUAAAGUUGAACAUAAAUGAAAAACUGCUCUAAAAUACUAAAUGCAAAUACAUUGGAGUAAACCUAAAUUGAUACCUGCCAUUUUAAAACAGACAGAUGCAAACACUGACUGAACAAUUUGAAUGUUUAAUUCUUUUUCCCCCCAAGUGCCAAACUUAGAAUAAAACCUGCCCAUAGAAUUUCAUGACUGUUGCAAUUUAGAGAAAAUCUUUUCAGUGUGACCCUAAUACUUUUUCACAGAAAUUCUAAUCCAAACAGGAUGCAGAAUCCUCUUGCGACAAUAUCUCUCUUUCCUUUCUUUGAGUGAAGCCUCAUUUCAUCUUUUGGUUUUUAGAUACAAUUGGCCUAUUCCCUCAAGGACUUCCUGCCUCAUUAAACGUAACCUCCUAAAAGCAGGGCAAGUCAUGCCAGUAUCCACCUUUUGAUUUUGAAAGCCGUACAUAGACUUCAAACUCCUGACCCUUGUCUGAUCCUGUUUGCCUGAAUCCUCACUCACCCCCGAAAAAAAAAAAAACAUUCCCUGGAAGACAGCAGUGGAUGUAUUUCUUCCUCUCAUCUCUAUCUGUUCUCAUGUUUCGUGCAUCUAUGCACAAGAUCCUUUCUGUUGUAAAUAUGUCCCCGAAAAUGGCUUCCCACCCCCUUUUACGAUUCACAUCCUGCCUCUCUCCCAAUCACUGUCUGACUCUCACUGUGAUUUUUGUUAGCCUCCUCAGUUUCUGUCUGCUUUUGGAGAUUAUUAUUGACGCAUUUUUCUGUUGUCUAAUGCAGUGGUGUGACUUGAUGAGUAGGACUAAGUUGGAUGUUUAAAAAGAUGCGAUGAAGAGGUCGUGAAAAAAAAGUUACAAAAAAACACUUGAAUUACGAAAAGGGUUCAAUUACAGACAAAAAAAUGAUAACGUUAUCAUAUUGUCAUACUAGAGAUGCUUUAGUUUGCUAUUUUUCUUUCUUUUUUUACAAAAGACUUGAAGAAAUGAAAUUAUUUAUAAAACGCGUCCCACAAGUCAUGCUCUUUGUUGGACGUACAAAAAAAAUGUAUUUAUUAACAUUUUGUUCAAAAUAAUAAAAAAUAAAUAUAAAUUAUGUUACAGAUUAUUUUUCAGUGUUUUUGUGAGUGCUUGGUGUGAUGACAGAAAGCGUCUGAGGUCAACGGCAGGCAAAUUAAAUUUUUGAGCAUUUGGAUGCAGUCUCCAUGGGAAUGUGACUAAACCUACAAAUCUGAGAAAUGUUAUAUGGUUGAUGAACACAAUUAUAGAGAAAAGGAUUGUAUUUUAAAAACAAACAUACUGUAAUGGGCGGCACAGUGGAAUAGUGGUUAACAGGUUUGCCUCACAGUUCUGAGAUCAAGGGUUCCAAUCCUAAGCUCUGGCCUUCCUGUGUGAACACUAAAUUCCCCACAAGUGUGAUUGUGUGAAUGGAUGUUUAUAAAGUGGUAUGCAAAAUUAACUGAACAUUUUGAAAUUUCUCACAUUUCUGCAUAAAAUCACCAUCAAAUGUGAUCUGAUCUUUUCAAAAUCACACAGAUGUAAAAACUGUCUGGUUUAACUCAAACCAUCCAAACAUAGGUUUUCAUAUUUUAAUGAGGAUAGCAUGCAAAUAAUGACAGAAGGGGGGCGGGGGGUUAGUGAACCCUCUGCCUUAGGAGGCUUAAAGAGCAAUUGAAACCAAUUUUUACCAAACAAUUUAUGUCAGGUGUGUGCCCAAUCACUGAUUAGUGGUUUAAAGCUGCCCUGCCCACUAUGAAACACACACCUGGUAAGAAUUGUCAUGAUGAGAAGCAUUGUCUGGUGUGCAUCAUGGCUCGGUCAAAAGAGCUGUCUGAAGACCUGCGAUCAAGGAUUGUUGAUUU